GGCAACCCCGCGAACGGUCUUAGUAACACGUAGGUACAUACCCCAAAGUGGAGCACAGCUCGUCGAAAGACGGGGUAAUUCUCCAUGAUAACGCAAGUUUAAAGGUCCGACCUCGGUCGAGACCGCUUUGGGAAUGGCCUGCGGCCUAUCAGAUAGUUGGCGGGGUAACGGCCCACCAAGUCUAUGACGGGUAGGGGGAGUGAGAGCUUGACCCCCAAGAAUGGCACUGCGACACGGGCCAUACUCCUACGGGAGGCUGCAGUCGAGAAUCUUCCGCAAUGGGCGAAAGCCUGACGGAGCGACGUUACGUGAAUGAAGAAGCCCUUCGGGGUGUAAAGUUCUUUUCUAUGGGAGGAAGUUAUUGACAGUACCAUAGGAAUAAGGGGAUCCUAAUUCUGUGCCAGCAGGAGCGGUAAGACAGAAUCCCCAAGCGUUACCCGGAUUUAUUGGGCGUAAAGGGUCCGUAGUGGUUUUGGUAAGUUUUGAGUUAAAUCCCAUCGGCUUAACCUUUGGGGUGCUCAAAAUACUGCUAGACUUGAGGGCGUUAGGGGUUAGCGGAACCGACGGAGUAGGGUGAAAUCCGUUGAUAUCGUCGGGAACACCAAAAAGCGAGGCAGCUAACUAAGGGAUGACCUGAACACUGAGGGGACGAAACGCGUGGGGCAGCACAGGAUUCGAUUCCCUUGUUUGUCCACGGCCGUUAACCGCAUGAAUUCUGGGGUCU
rnacentral:rRNA from 1 species